ACCUGGUUGAUUCUGCCAGUAGCAUACGCUUGUCUCAAAGAUUAAGCCAUGCAUGUCUAAGUAUAAACAAAUCUAUACUGUGAAACUGCGAAUGGCUCAUUAUAUCAGUUAUAGUUUAUUUGAUGGUCCUUACUACUUGGAUAACCGUAGUAAUUCUAGAGCUAAUACAUGCAUCAAGCCCCGACUUUUGAAGGGGUGUAUUUAUUAGAUAUUAAACCAAUGCGGGGCAACCCGUAACUUGGUGAUUCAUAAUAACUUUCGGAUCGAUCUUCGGAUCGAUGCAUCAUUCAAGUUUCUGCCCUAUC
rnacentral:rRNA from 14 species